rnacentral:rRNA from 1 species
UACGGAGGGUGCAAACGUUGCUCGGAAUCAUUGGGCGUAAAGCGCACGUAGGCGGUCUUUUAAGUCGGGGGUGAAAUCCUGGAGCUCAACUCCAGAACUGCCUUCGAUACUGGAAGACUCGAGUCCGGGAGAGGUGAGUGGAACUGCGAGUGUAGAGGUGAAAUUCGAUGAGAUAUUCGCAAGAACACCAGUGGCGAAGGCGGCUCACUGGCCCGGUACUGACGCUGAGGUGCGAAAGCGUGGGGAGCAAACAGGG